UACGAAGGGGGCUAGCGUUGCUCGGAAUCACUGGGCGUAAAGGGUGCGUAGGCGGGGCUUUAAGUCAGGGGUGAAAUCCUGGAGCUCAACUCCAGAACUGCCUUUGAUACUGGCGAUCUUUGAGUCCGGGAGAGGUGAGUGGAACUCCGAGUGUAGAGGUGAAAUUCGUAGAUAUUCGGAAGAACACCAGUGACGAAGGCGGCUCACUGGCCCGGUACUGACGCUCAUGUGCGAAAGCGUGGGGAGCAAACAGG
rnacentral:rRNA from 1 species